CCUACGGGAGGCAGCAGUGGGGAAUAUUGCACAAUGGGGGAAACCCUGAUGCAGCGACGCCGCGUGAGUGAAGAAGUAAUUCAUUAUGUAAAGCUCUAUCAGCAGGGAAGAAAAUGACGGUACCUGAGUAAGACUGCCCGGCUAACUACGAUCCAGACGCCGCGGUAAUACGUAGGGGGCAGGCGUGAUCCGGAUAUACUGGGUGUAAAGGGAGCGUAGACGGCAGUGCAAGUCUGGAGUAAAGGGCGGGGGCUCAACCCCCGGACUGCUCUGGAAACUGUACGGCUGGAGUGCAGGAGAGGUAAGUGGAAUUCCGAGUGUAGCGGUGAAAUGCGUAGAUAUUAGGCGGAACACCAGUGGCGAAGGCGGCUUACUGGACUGUAACUGACGUUGAGGCUCGAAAGCGUGGGGAGCAAACAGGAUUAGAUACCCGAGUAGUC
rnacentral:rRNA from 1 species